rnacentral:rRNA from 1 species
CCUCCGGGAGGCAGCAGUGAGGAAUAUUGGUCAAUGGACGAGAGUCUGAACCAGCCAAGCCGCGUGAAGGAUGACUGUCCUAUGGGUUGUAAACUUCUUUUAUAUGGGAAUAAAAUGUUCCUCGUGUGGGAUCUUGUAUGUACCAUAUGAAUAAGGAUCGGCUAACUCCGUGCCAGCAGCCGCGGUAAUACGGAGGAUCCGAGCGUUAUCCGGAUUUAUUGGGUUUAAAGGGAGAGUAGGUGGAUUGUUAAGUCAGUUGUGAAAGUUUGCGGCUCAACCGUAAAAUUGCAGUUGAAACUGGCAGUCGUGAGUACAGUAGAGGUGAGCGGAAUUCGUGGUGUAGCGGUGAAAUGCUUAGAUAUCGCGAAGAACUCCGAUUGCGAAGGCAACUCACUGGACUGCAACUGACACUGAGGCUCGAAAGUGUGGGUAUCAAACAGGAUUAGAUACCCCUGUAGUC